rnacentral:rRNA from 1 species
CCUACGGGUGGCUGCAGUCGAGAAUCAUUCACAAUGGGGGAAACCCUGAUGGUGCGACGCCGCGUGGGGGAAUGAAGGUCUUCGGGUUGUAAACCCCUGUCAUGUGGGAGCAAAUUAAAAAGAUAGUACCACAAGAGGAAGAGACGGCUAAAUCUGUGCCAACAGCCGCCGUAAUACAGGGGUCUCAAGCGGUGUUCGGAAGCAAUGGGCGUAAAGCGUGUGUAGGCUGUUUCGUAAGUCGUGUGUUAAAGGCGCGGGCUCAACCCGCGGACGGCACAUGAUACUGCGAGACUAGAGUGAUGGAGGGGGAAGCGGAAUUCGCGGUGUAGCAGUGAAAUGCGUAGAUAUCGAGCGGAACACUCGUGGCGAAGGCGGGUUCCUGGACAUUAACUGACGCUGAGGCACGAAGGCCAGGGGAGCGAAAGGGAUUAGAUACCCCUGUAGUC